CUGGCCUCAGCUCUGAAGUCCAACCCCUCCCAUCUGAGAGAGCUGGACCUGAGUGACAACAACCUGCAGGAUUCAGAUGUGAAGCUGCUGUGUGAUCUGAAGGAGAGUCCACACUGUAAACUGGAGACUCUGAGAUGGUGGCGAUGAGAGAUCAGCUCCACUGUCAGACACAAUGUGAAGUCCACCAUCAUCCCUGUGUGUUCCUCUGGAUCUGACAGUAUCAUCAUGAGUGUAUCAAAGACUGCUCUGUCCAUUUUUACUCUUAAUGAUGACAUGGGGUUGGACUGGGAGCAAAAUUCAGCCCUGGCAUUUUCCAUCUGGACGUUUCACAUUUUACAGUUUUGGUCCUUUAUCCAUUUCAUUUAUAUUUUAGACUCAACUCUGCUCUUUCUGUCUUUAUUUAAUUUGUUUCUUUCUGCUUCACUUCUGACACCACAUGGACAGAACCACUUGAAAGGGUGGGGGGAGAUGACAACAGUCCGUACCACUGCACCUGCCUUUCAGAAUAGGUAGUGUGUUUUGGGGCCGUGUAACCUCUGCUCAGAUGAGCUGUUCCAACAUCAAGUCAGCCAAAACCAGCAGGUCCAAUUUUCCCCAUUUUGCUGGUGGUCCAGUUCAUUUGGCGUUUGCCAGAAUUGCCAGAUUACCAGUCUGAGUCUGUCUCCACACUGUUAGUCUGGCUCUCUGGAUGUGGACUGUGGCUAUCAGCCUGCCAUGGGGCCGCUGAUUACAGCCGUCAUUCUCCCUUCCUUUAACUGUAUGUUCCAAAUCCCCUUCACUACAGGAAACAACAACAACCUGUGAGCUAACAACUUACACACUGAAGAUGGCGAGUUGUGUCAAAGAUUUGGAUCGUGCAAUAAGGCGUGUCUGCGUUGUUGUUUCAGGGAAUUGUUUUAAAAAUCUACAACAAAUCAAACAACUUGUGAACGCACCUCAGAAAAGCCCCAACUCCGUCUUGCAGGACUAUCAUGCCUGAUGUGGAUCUGUUUCCUGACUCGGCCAGUCAGAGUUGAUAUGUCACAUCUUGUAACUCUGGCAGCAGCAUGCUCCAGUCACCAUGACUUAACUAAUGUACCGACCCGUUCCACUUCACAGGAGCUUCUGUGUUACUGUUGUCAUGACGAUCUGCUGGAGCCACAUACAGCAAAUCAUCUGUGGUUUUAACCGCUGAGCUCCUCCAGAGCUGAAUAUCGUCAGGCUUCACCUCCACAGCUCUUAUUCUUAUUCUUGUCUUUAUUCUAUGGAUGUAUAUAUUGUAGUAACCAUUAUAGCACAAUACGUAUUUUAUAUUUCUGAAUGUAAGACUAGUUUAUACAGUGUAAUGUAGCACAGUGCACAUAUCUGUAUAUUUUUACACACUCACAGACUCAGCACACUGAAGAUAUUUUAUUCUUACUAUCUUAAGCACUAGUGUUAAACAUUGUUAUUUCUAUUUUAUUGGAUUUUAUUACUUUAUAUUCACAUACUUCUAUUUCAUACUCCUAUUUUUACUUAUAAUUCUUCAGUCUUUACAUCCGAGCGGCUGUAACGAAUCACAAUUUCUCCUCGGGGAUCAAUAAAGUCUUUCUGAUUGUGAAAGGUGAAUCACACAGUGACAUACGACCGUUAAUAAGGAUCGGAGGCCCCACGUUAUGAUAUGAUCAAGAUAUAAUAUUAUUGCCAUUUUAAAUGUUUUGCGAUACGCUGAGUAUUAUGAUAACAUUUAUGUUCCAUAAAGUCACCCCACAGCUCGAUAUGCAGACACUUUUCAUUGUUGUUCGAACUUUUUGUUUUUUAAAAUGUAGGUUUCCCCUUAGAUUAUAACCUCCCUCCCUUUCUGUGAACAUUUCCCGGCAGUAGAUUGUUUCUUGCUUUGUACAUUAUUAUCGCUGUUUUGAACAAACAGUGGGUUUAUGUGUUCUCUGUAUCCCGCCUUGUUUAUUGUUCUUAUUGCUCUUUUCUGUAUUGUGCAUAUUGGCUGUAGAGUGCUUUUAUAGAUGUUUCCCCAGACCUCCACACAGUAUGACAGAUAUGGUAAAUACAGUGAACAGUAUAGGGUGUGUAAUGAUUUGUGAUCCAGAAUGUGUCUUGUUUUUCCCAGUAUUGCAGUGCACUUUGCCAGUUUUGAUCGUAUGUGGCUUACAAGAGAUUUCCAGCUGAUUUUGUGGUCCAGGAUCACCUAGAAAUUUUAUUUCAUAAACUUGUUCUAUUUUUAUAUUAUCUAUUGUCAGUUCUACAUUGAAAUCAGGUUUAUUUUUUUUUCCAUAAAUUUUGUUUUGCUUAGAUUUAAUGAUAAUUUAUUUCUGUCAAACCACAGUUUUAGAUGGCGCUCUCUGUUCAACAAAGGGUUACAGGCACACUGGACUGUCUGUCCUUGAGCUGUUUUCUGUAAACCAAGAGCGCCAUCUAGUGGGCUCAGAAAAUAAAUCAUUACAUUUCAAAAACUCCUAACUUUUCUAUCUGGACAAAAGUAUGUGGACAUCCUCACACAGCAGUGGUGGGAUGCAACUAAGUACUGUACUUGAGCUACAUUUUGAGCUCCUUGUACUUUCCAUUGACUUUAUACUUUUAUUCCACAUACCUUUCACCAUCUGUACAUCUUCUCAGGUUUUUGAUGAGCUUUACUUUAAUAUUUAAAUCUAACAGUGCUUUGUUCCCUCAUCUUGAGUCAUCUGAUCAUUUGAGUCUGAUUUUGAAUGUUUGCAUGGAGUUGAUCAAUAUUUAAUAAAGCAGAUAUUUCCAUGA